rnacentral:rRNA from 1 species
CAGUAGCCGCGGUAAUACGAAGGGUGCAAGCGUUACUCGGAAUUACUGGGCGUAAAGCGUGCGUAGGUGGUGGUUUAAGUCCGUUGUGAAAGCCCUGGGCUCAACCUGGGAACUGCAGUGGAUACUGGGUCACUAGAGUGUGGUAGAGGAUAGUGGAAUUUCCGGUGUAGCAGUGAAAUGCGUAGAGAUCGGAAGGAACAUCUGUGGCGAAGGCGACUAUCUGGGCCAACACUGACACUGAGGCACGAAAGCGUGGGGAGCAAACAGGAUUAGAUACCCCGGUAGUCCCUGUCUCUUAUAC